AUCCCAUCUGAGCUGACCCGAUCCGACCCGGUCCGAUCCAAGUGGAGCUGAUCCAACCCGACCCGGUUCUGGCUGAGCUGAUCCCAUCUGACCCGAUCCGACCCGGUCCGAUCCGAGUGGAUCCGAUCCCAUCUGAGCUGACCCGAUCCGACCCGGUCCGAUCCGAGUGGAUCCGAUCCCAUCUGAGCUGAUCCGAUCUGACCCGGUCCGAUCCAAGUGGAGCUGAUCCAACCCGACCCGGUUCUGGCUGAGCUGAUCCCAUCUGACCCGAUCCGACCCGGUCCGAUCCGAGUGGAUCCGAUCCCAUCUGAGCUGACCCGAUCCGACCCGGUCCGAUCCAAGUGGAGCUGAUCCAACCCGACCCGGUUCUG
rnacentral:lncRNA from 1 species